CGGGUGUUUCCUUGUUCGGAAUGGGGUUGGCUCCUCUUUGAUUUUUUACUUCUGGUGACCCACGCAAAAGCAGUCCCGACCUGGUUGUAUUAAUAAUAAAGGCUGUAAGGAUCAGCCUUUUGAACGGUCCAGCCGAGAACUAACCACAGAGCGCGUUUUAGUGGAGUGGUACUUAUUUUUAAAUAAGAUACUGAGUUUACUACAAAUGGAAGGUUUGAGGCAACCUUGAUGGAGCAAGUGUAUGGGUGCCAUGUUUUUCCAACAUCAUGUGCUCACUUUGUGUCUCUGACAUAUUUUGAACGCAAGACUAUAUUUACUAGCAGCUCUGUGUCCUUGCUCAUUGGAAAAUGAUCUUUCCUCAAGACUUGCUGACACGUUUCUGUUUAAGGCAUGACAAUCCUAAAGGCCAACAAUUGUGGACGGGGGCAACUCUUCCUUUCAUUAUGUACUGGUGUAGUCAAUUAUGCAAAGUCUGGUCAACCAAAGACCACCAGGCUCAAGCCAUCAGUUUUAAAAUAUGGCCACAUGCUCCUUGAUGGCCUAUGUGAUAUGGCUUUAGUAACUCCCUUAGGACCAAGAGAAUAUAAUGGAACUAAUGCUGUGUAACUUCCAAAUGCAGCUGCUUUCUGGGUCUUUUGAAAUGGCCCUUCAGAAUCCAGGCAACAUGCUGUGAGAAGUUCAAGCUACAUGGACAAGUGUAGAUGGUUCUGGUGAACGAUUCCAAUCUAGUCUUGGCUUUAAAAGUCAUCUCAGUACCAUGAAUUCAGAUGAUUAUAGCUCUCAGAUAUUCAAAUUACCCUCAGCCCUUAGUUUUCCUUGCCUAGGCCUCAGACAUCAUAGAAUAAAGCCAUCCCCAUUGUGCCCUCUCCAAGUUCCUGAACUAUAGAGUCCAUGAGCAUAAUAAAAUGAUUGUUUUAAGAUGC
rnacentral:lncRNA from 1 species